rnacentral:lncRNA from 1 species
CUUGAUUCUCUCACAGGUCUGAAGGCUGGGAGUCUAAAAUCAAGGUGUCGGCAGGGCCACACUGUCUCUGAUUCCCUCUGUAAGGGGAUCCUUCCUGGCCCCUCUGCUUAGCUUCUGGCUGUUUGCUGGCAAUCGUUGGCCUUGCUUGGCCUGUAGCUGCGUGCGUCCAGGCUCUGCUCCAGCAUCUCGUUCCCUUCUCCUUGGGUGUCUCUGUCUUUACAUGGCCGUCUUCUCAUAUACAGACACCAGUCACACUGGAAUAGGGGCCCACCCUACUCAAGUUUGACCUCAUCUUAACUAAGUCCAUCUGCCACGGCCCUGUCUCCAAAUAAGGUCACCUUCUGAGGCCCCCAGAACCCCUAGGCCACCAGGGUCAGGACAUUGUUGUCACUUUGAUCAGAGCUGCCCCUGACUGACACUGCCAUCAUGCCAUCACUGGGCCCCAACAGUCCCAGACUUCCUCUCCUGGAUGAGGGUGGGCGGCCUGUCUGUGGUGUGACAGUCACUGGACCGUUGAACGAAUGUGCUUGAGCCCAGUCUAAAUGGGUGGUGACACGACAUUUGCUGUUGUUUAUACUCUCACUCAGGGGCAGAGGAGGGCCCUCGGUGAGCUGUGCACUUGCUGGGCCUUCUCCAGCUUCGCCUGUGAAGGGAGGAAGGUGGACAGUCUCCCUGGCCCCAGCCUCACCCCUCCACUCCUGACCGGCCCUCACCUGCACACACCUGAAAGGGAGGGCAAUGAGAGGCAGCGAAUGGAGGUCUGGGCCCCAGAACAUGGAAUCCCGUGUCUCGAAGCUUCUCAUGCUUCCUGACCCUCCCCACGUCAAGCCACAGUGGGCCCAUUCUCCUCCAGUCACUGUUCCUGGCUAUUAACCCAAGUCACUGACUCCUGUCUCGAGGCCCUACAAUCCAUGCUCAUUCUGGCACCAGCUGGGGCAGAGGGUUGGGGGAAUCCUCCGUUCCCCCGACCUCCUCAUUUUAUCUAUUGCUAGCACCUAGCACAGUGCCUGG